rnacentral:rRNA from 1 species
AGAGUUUGAUCAUGGCUCAGGAUAAACGCUGGCGGCGUGCCUAACACAUGCAAGUCGAACGUCCUUCUCUUUCGAGAGGAGGGAGUGGCGGACGGGUGAGUAACACGUGGGUGACCUACCCCCAGGUGAGGAAUACCGGCGAGAAAUCGCCGACAAGACCGCAUACGCUUCGCUCACGCGAAGCAACGUCCCGCAAGGGAUGCCUGGGGAUGGGCCUGCGGCCGAUUAGCUAGUUGGUGAGGUAAUGGCCCACCAAGGCGACGAUCGGUAGCUGGUCUGAGAGGAUGAUCAGCCACACUGGGAUUGAGAACGGCCCAGACUCCUACGGGGGGCAGCAGUGAGGAAUUUUCCGCAAUGGGCGCAAGCCUGACGGAGCAACGCCGCGUGCGGGACGACGCCCUUCGGGGUGUAAACCGCUUUUCCCCCGGACGAGGAUGACGGUACGGGGGGAAUCAGCCUCGGCUAACUACGUGCCAGCAGCCGCGGUAAUAC